AGAGUUUGAUCCUGGCUCAGGACGAACGCUGGCGGCGUGCCUAAUACAUGCAAGUCGAACGCACUGACGUCGACCGAAGCUGCUUGCAGUGGACGUUGAUUGACGUGAGUGGCGGACGGGUGAGUAACACGUGGGUAACCUACCCUUAAGUGGGGGAUAACAUUUGGAAACAGAUGCUAAUACCGCAUAACCAUUCAGACCGCAUGGUCUGAAUGUAAAAGACGGCCUUUGGCUGUCGCUUUUGGACGGACCCGCGGCGUAUUAGUUAGUUGGUAAGGUAACGGCUUACCAAGACAAUGAUACGUAGCCGACCUGAGAGGGUAAUCGGCCACAUUGGGACUGAGACACGGCCCAAACUCCUACGGGAGGCAGCAGUAGGGAAUCUUCCACAAUGGACGAAAGUCUGAUGGAGCAACGCCGCGUGAGUGAAGAAGGUUUUAGGAUCGUAAAACUCUGUUGUUGGAGAAGAACAGGGACUAGAGUAACUGUUAGUCCUUUGACGGUAUCCAACCAGAAAGCCACGGCUAACUACGUGCCAGCAGCCGCGGUAAUACGUAGGUGGCAAGCGUUGUCCGGAUUUAUUGGGCGUAAAGCGAGCGCAGGCGGUUUUUUAAGUCUGAUGUGAAAGCCUUCGGCUUAACCGAAGAAGUGCAUUAGAAACUGG
rnacentral:rRNA from 1 species